rnacentral:lncRNA from 1 species
GAAUGUGGGGCGGUGGGGGAGGAGGAGUAUCCUGAGAGCACUUGGCCACAGUCACCCUGACCAGCCUGCCCUACAGUUUGUUCUUUCCAGGCGUUGUUAUCAUCACUGGAAGGCUUUCCUCACCCUCCUCAUUGGGGAGCAGCCCUCUAGUCUGUUUUCAGUAAAGAGAGAGCUUCUCUUUAUCCUUGCUAGAGAAACCUCUUAGCUUUUUAAUCAGAGAAUAACUCUUGUUGUGGCAAUUGUUAGACUGCCAUUUCAAAAUAACCAAAACUACAUUUUCGCCACCAAAACAUAUACUAUAUGUGUUACUCAUGCGUGCAGGAACACACACCACACACACACACACACACUCAGUUUCUCUCCUACAGUUAAUUAUUAUUUUUUUUGGGUUAGGAGAAAAACCACUAAUGGAAUGAAUUAAGCUCUAAAUAAUCUCUCUCUCUCUCUCUGUCUGUCAGUAACUACCAUCACGUUAAAUGUUACACAAUCA